CCAGGUUGGACUUUGGCUGCGGAAUCGCAAUCAAAAGAUGGGUGGAGGGAGGUGGAACUCUGACACUCCAUGUUAGUGGAAUGGCACAAGACAAGCCAUCGCCCAUGUUAUUUUUAACUGUGUGUCUCCAUGGAAACCGGCACAUUUGCAAGGAGUGGGUGAUCUCCUGCUGUGCACGUGCCGAGGAAGACUCCUACCCUGGUCACAGCGUGAAUGGUGUUCUGUCUGUCUGUAAUUCUAAUGACAUGCCAAGUCUAAGAGUGUGACAGAAGAAGAGACCAAAGAGAGACAGGCAGAUACUGAGGGAGAGAGGAGAGGGCUUCUGAGGUGACUGAAGAAACACCAACAUGCUGUAGAAGACGACAGUGCUGUUGUCAGGCUGGAGCUAAAAGCAGCCAAUCGUGUGGCUCUGCGUUGAGGAGCUCUGGGGUGAUGUUAGGCAGUUUCAUACGAUGAGCUUUGCCAAAUGAUGAACACUUCAUAAGAUGCCCAGAUCCAUCUAAACCUAAAUGAUUAAACUUACAUUAUCCU